CUACUGGGCUGGCGAUACCCUCAGGGAAAUAAAUCUCCACCAGCAGUGGCAUCGACCCAGUGGUUGUAAAUAAACUCAUCAUAGAUACCAGGAUUAAAAUUUCAUAUUUACGCCAGACACGCGUAUAAUCUACAAAAGACUCAUCAGUGACGCUCGAAUCAAAACAUGUUUAAAAGGCCAAAUAUAGUACGAAGUUGAAGAGCAUUGAGGACCGAAAAUUCAUAAAAGUUUUGCCAAAUACAGCUAAGGUAAUCUAUUCCUGAGGUAGAAAAGCCUUAGUAUUUCAAAAUUCCUAAAAGUUUUGUUAACAGUUAAUUUAUUAUUAUGAACAUAUCAAUGAUAACUCAAGUAAGCACGCAGGACUGGUGAUAAAUACCUCCUCGGAGAAAUAAAUCUCACCAGCAGUGGAAUCAAAAACAUUGUCAGAGAGAACAUACAGUACCAUUAAACACUAGGUUGCAUUGCCGUCCGGGACAGAAUCUUUAUAGCUAUUGAUUGGCGGUCAUUUUGAGCUCAUUAUAUAAUACAUUCUUAGAGUAUUCUGGGUUUCUAGUCAGUACUUUGAACUGCUAUUUAUAAAUCAUGCAAAUCAACUUUCAAUAAAGCAC
rnacentral:lncRNA from 1 species